ACGAAAGAUCUUAACCAACCGCUCUUUAACAACUGAAUCAAGCAAUUCGUGUGGGUGCUUGUGCAGUCAGACUGAUAGUCAACAAGAUUAUCAGCAUCACAAGUUACUCCGCGAGAAAUCAAAGAUGUAACCAACGAUUGCUGAGCCAAGUUUAGGGUUUCUUAAAAACCCAAAGAUGUUUGAACUGAAGAGUUUGAUCAUGGCUCAGAUUGAACGCUGGCGGCAGGCCUAACACAUGCAAGUCGAGCGGAUGAAGGAGCUUGCUCCUGGAUUCAGCGGCGGACGGGUGAGUAAUGCCUAGGAAUCUGCCUGGUAGUGGGGGACAACGUUUCGAAAGGAACGCUAAUACCGCAUACGUCCUACGGGAGAAAGCAGGGGACCUUCGGGCCUUGCGCUAUCAGAUGAGCCUAGGUCGGAUUAGCUAGUUGGUGAGGUAAUGGCUCACCAAGGCGACGAUCCGUAACUGGUCUGAGAGGAUGAUCAGUCACACUGGAACUGAGACACGGUCCAGACUCCUACGGGAGGCAGCAGUGGGGAAUAUUGGACAAUGGGCGAAAGCCUGAUCCAGCCAUGCCGCGUGUGUGAAGAAGGUCUUCGGAUUGUAAAGCACUUUAAGUUGGGAGGAAGGGUUGUAGAUUAAUACUCUGCAAUUUUGACGUUACCGACAGAAUAAGCACCGGCUAACUCUGUGCCAGCAGCCGCGGUAAUACAGAGGGUGCAAGCGUUAAUCGGAAUUACUGGGCGUAAAGCGCGCGUAGGUGGUUUGUUAAGUUGGAUGUGAAAUCCCCGGGCUCAACCUGGGAACUGCAUCCAAAACUGGCAAGCUAGAGUAUGGUAGAGGGUGGUGGAAUUUCCUGUGUAGCGGUGAAAUGCGUAGAUAUAGGAAGGAACACCAGUGGCGAAGGCGACCACCUGGACUGAUACUGACACUGAGGUGCGAAAGCGUGGGGAGCAAACAGGAUUAGAUACCCUGGUAGUCCACGCCGUAAACGAUGUCAACUAGCCGUUGGGAGCCUUGAGCUCUUAGUGGCGCAGCUAACGCAUUAAGUUGACCGCCUGGGGAGUACGGCCGCAAGGUUAAAACUCAAAUGAAUUGACGGGGGCCCGCACAAGCGGUGGAGCAUGUGGUUUAAUUCGAAGCAACGCGAAGAACCUUACCAGGCCUUGACAUCCAAUGAACUUUCCAGAGAUGGAUUGGUGCCUUCGGGAACAUUGAGACAGGUGCUGCAUGGCUGUCGUCAGCUCGUGUCGUGAGAUGUUGGGUUAAGUCCCGUAACGAGCGCAACCCUUGUCCUUAGUUACCAGCACGUAAUGGUGGGCACUCUAAGGAGACUGCCGGUGACAAACCGGAGGAAGGUGGGGAUGACGUCAAGUCAUCAUGGCCCUUACGGCCUGGGCUACACACGUGCUACAAUGGUCGGUACAAAGGGUUGCCAAGCCGCGAGGUGGAGCUAAUCCCAUAAAACCGAUCGUAGUCCGGAUCGCAGUCUGCAACUCGACUGCGUGAAGUCGGAAUCGCUGUGAAGAUGCAGUGUAUCCGCGGCUAGACGGAAAGACCCCGUGAACCUUUACUAUAGCUUUGCACUGGACUUUGAAUUUGCUUGUGUAGGAUAGGUGGGAGGCUUUGAAGCGUGGACGCCAGUUCGCGUGGAGCCAUCCUUGAAAUACCACCCUGGCAACUUUGAGGUUCUAACUCAGGUCCGUUAUCCGGAUCGAGGACAGUGUAUGGUGGGUAGUUUGACUGGGGCGGUCUCCUCCUAAAGAGUAACGGAGGAGUACGAAGGUGCGCUCAGACCGGUCGGAAAUCGGUCGUAGAGUAUAAAGGCAAAAGCGCGCUUGACUGCGAGACAGACACGUCGAGCAGGUACGAAAGUAGGUCUUAGUGAUCCGGUGGUUCUGUAUGGAAGGGCCAUCGCUCAACGGAUAAAAGGUACUCCGGGGAUAACAGGCUGAUACCGCCCAAGAGUUCAUAUCGACGGCGGUGUUUGGCACCUCGAUGUCGGCUCAUCACAUCCUGGGGCUGAAGCCGGUCCCAAGGGUAUGGCUGUUCGCCAUUUAAAGUGGUACGCGAGCUGGGUUUAGAACGUCGUGAGACAGUUCGGUCCCUAUCUGCCGUGGACGUUUGAGAUUUGAGAGGGGCUGCUCCUAGUACGAGAGGACCGGAGUGGACGAACCUCUGGUGUUCCGGUUGUCACGCCAGUGGCAUUGCCGGGUAGCUAUGUUCGGGAAAGAUAACCGCUGAAAGCAUCUAAGCGGGAAACUUGCCUCAAGAUGAGAUCUCACUGGAACCUUGAGUUCCCUGAAGGGCCGUCGAAGACUACGACGUUGAUAGGUUGGGUGUGUAAGCGCUGUGAGGCGUUGAGCUAACCAAUACUAAUUGCCCGUGAGGCUUGACC
rnacentral:rRNA from 1 species